UACGUAGGGUCCGAGCGUUGUCCGGAAUUAUUGGGCGUAAAGGGCUCGUAGGCGGUUUGUCGCGUCGGGAGUGAAGACUCAGGGCUCAACCCUGAGCGUGCUUCCGAUACGGGCAGACUAGAGGUAUGCAGGGGAGAACGGAAUUCCUGGUGUAGCGGUGGAAUGACGCAGAUAUCAGGAGGAACACCGGUGGCGAAGGCGGUUCUCUGGGCAUUACCUGACGCUGAGGAGCGAAAGCAUGGGGAGCGAACAGG
rnacentral:rRNA from 1 species